ACACACUUAAAUAAGUGUCUUUGACUGUACACUGCAGAGGAGACUCACUUCUCUGUGGUUAAACUUGUCUUUUCCAGUGGAUUUAAGUGACGAUGGUGAACGUGUGCGUGAGACCUAACGUUCAUCACUGCAGCGCAUGAACGUGUGAACUGAGCGUGAUCAUGAGUGAAGCAGAAUGAGAAGAACGACGCCGGGACGAUCGUGAUUUUCAGGUCAACGCUGACGUUUGGACAUGAACACGAGGAACCGCGCUUCCCUCCUGAAGUGACAGGCGCAGAGGCUCCGCCCAUUCCCGUCAUGGAGGAAUCGGGCGUUGUGGAAAAUGGAAACAAAGAGAUGCCUCAGCCUGGUUGUUCUCAGGCGGACUCCGCACUCCUGUUCCCCGCCUCAGAGGCUCCAGACUCGGUCAGUC